AACGAACGCUGGCGGCAUGCCUAACACAUGCAAGUCGAACGAGACCUUCGGGUCUAGUGGCGCACGGGUGCGUAACGCGUGGGAACCUGCCCUUAGGUUCGGAAUAACUCCCCGAAAGGGGUGCUAAUACCGGAUAAUGUCUUCGGACCAAAGAUUUAUCGCCUUUGGAUGGGCCCGCGUUGGAUUAGCGAGUUGGUAGGGUAAAAGCCUACCAAGGCGACGAUCCAUAGCUGGUCUGAGAGGAUGAUCAGCCACACUGGGACUGAGACACGGCCCAGACUCCUACGGGAGGGAGCAGUGGGGUAUAUUGGACGAUGGGCGAAAGCCUGAUCCAGCAAUGCCGCGUGAGUGAUGAAGGCCUUAGGGUUGUAAAGCUCUUUUACACGGGAUGAUAAUGACAGUACCGGGAGAAUAAGCUCCGGCUAACUCCGUG
rnacentral:rRNA from 1 species